rnacentral:rRNA from 1 species
CUGGCUCAGGAUGAACGCUAGCUACAGGCUAACACAUGCAAGUCGAGGGGCAGCAGGACGAUAGCUUGCUAUUGUUGCUGGCGACCGGCGCACGGGUGAGUAACGCGUAUCCAACCUUCCCCUUAGUAGGGCAUAGCCCGGUGAAAAUCGGAUUAAUACCCUAUGUUGUGUCAUGAGGACAUCUGAAUAACACUAAAGAUUUAUCGCUAAGGGAUGGGGAUGCGUCCGAUUAGGUAGUCGGCGGGGUAACGGCCCACCGAGCCCUCGAUCGGUAGGGGUUCUGAGAGGAAGGUCCCCCACACUGGUACUGAGACACGGACCAGACUCCUACGGGAGGCAGCAGUGAGGAAUAUUGGUCAAUGGGCGUAAGCCUGAACCAGCCAAGUAGCCGUGCAGGAUGACGGCCCUAUGGGUUGUAAACUGCUUUUAUACGGGGAUAAAGUCGCCCACGUGUGGGUGUUUGUAGGUACCGUAUGAAUAAGGACCGGCUAAUUCCGUGCCAGCCGCUGC